AAUCGUGGGGGAUAACGCAGCGAAAGUUGUGCUAAUACCGCAUAAGAUCUACGGAUGAAAGCGGGGGAUCGCAAGACCUCGCGCGAGUGGAGCGGCCGAUAUCAGAUUAGCUAGUUGGUGAGGUAAAGGCUCACCAAGGCGACGAUCUGUAGCUGGUCUGAGAGGACGACCAGCCACACUGGGACUGAGACACGGCCCAGACUCCUACGGGAGGCAGCAGUGGGGAAUUUUGGACAAUGGGCGCAAGCCUGAUCCAGCAAUGCCGCGUGCAGGAUGAAGGCCUUCGGGUUGUAAACUGCUUUUGUACGGAGCGAAAAGGUUCAUCCUAAUACGGUGGGCUCAUGACGGUACCGUAAGAAUAAGCACCGGCUAACUACGUGCCAGCAGCCGCGGUAAUACGGAGGAUCCAAGCGUUAUCCGGAAUCAUUGGGUUUAAAGGGUCCGUAGGCGGAUUUGUAAGUCAGUGGUGAAAUCUUUCAGCUUAACUGAGAAAUUGCCAUUGAUACUGCAAGUCUUGAAUAAUAAGGAAGUAACUAGAAUAUGUAGUGUAGCGGUGAAAUGCUUAGAUAUUACAUGGAAUACCAAUUGCGAAGGCAGGUUACUACUUAUUUAUUGACGCUGAUGGACGAAAGCGUGGGUAGCGAACAGGAUUAGAUACCCUGGUAGUCCACGCCGUAAACGAUGGAUACUAGCUGUUGGUAGCAAUAUCAGUGGCUAAGCGAAAGUGAUAAGUAUCCCACCUGGGGAGUACGAACGCAAGUUUGAAACUCAAAGGAAUUGACGGGGGCCCGCACAAGCGGUGGAGCAUGUGGUUUAAUUCGAUGAUACGCGAGGAACCUUACCAAGGCUUAAAUGUAUUAUGACCGGUUUGGAAACAGACCUUUCGCAAGACAGAAUACAAGGUGCUGCAUGGUUGUCGUCAGCUCGUGCCGUGAGGUGUCAGGUUAAGUCCUAUAACGAGCGCAACCCCUGUUGUUAGUUACCAACGAGUAAUGUCGGGAACUCUAACAAGACUGCCAGUGUAAACUGUG
rnacentral:rRNA from 1 species